GUCUAAUAGCUCAGUUGGUAGAGCAUGAGACUUUUGAUCUCAGGGUCGUGAGUUCGAGCCCCACAUUGGACA